rnacentral:lncRNA from 1 species
CCAAAACACAAAAACUUAACUAUAACCACUGAACCAUGAAAAUGAGGUCAAGGUCAGAUGAUACCUGCCAGUUGGACAUGUACACCUUCCAGUCCUUCCAUACACCAAAUAUACUAGCCCUAUUGCUUAUAGUAUCUGAGAUAUGGACUUGACCACCAAAACUUAACCUUGUUCACUGAUCCAUGAAAUGAGGUCGAGGUCAAGCAGGGAUCUCCAUGGAUGAAAAUUGAACCAUGGAGGAACUUUCACCAUUACAAACCGUGUCUACGUUGUACAGUGUAGCGCGAUCGGAAGUAUUUUAUCCCUCCAUACAAGGAAUGGUGAACAUGCUAAUUCAUUGCUUAUUUAAAUUAUAUUUAUUUGAAUUUUCAUUUUAGAAUUAGAAGUAUCAAUAUUUUCAUUUAUUGCCGUUUUUAACCAUUCAAAUGCCAAGUCUGCAUGGUCCCCCCUUAGUCGAGAAUGACCAAAAGCUGUCAUGAAGGUCCCCAUGUAGAUUUCUUGUAUUUUUGGUAAUUGUUAUGGGGGUUAAAAAUCAUAUGAUGUGGAGCUUAUUUUUCAUGGACACUGUCAAAUUCAGAACCCAUUACCGGUAUGGCUGAUUUGCAGCAACAACAAAACGAUUCGUACGGGUUAUAUAAAAGGUUAAAGAGAUUUGUAAAGCAAACGUUGACAAAUGAAAAGGUUUUUAAUGACUUUAUCUGGCAAAUUGAUGCUGUGCAACAUGUAUCUUUCGAGUCUGAAUAGAAACCGGAAACGCGGAUGUAUCAAUUUUAUUACAUUAAAUACCUCACCUUCAUAAAUUUAGAUAUCAGUCCACUCGCUGCAUUAUUCAACCGGAAACCAGCCAGAAAAAGAAACCAUGACCCCGUGACAACCUCUCCCACCUGACACCUGUGUGUCCUAAACCUUCAUCAUUUUUUCCGGUUCUACAACGCAUGCUGCACGUUUUUUUGUGGAGGAGGAAAAAGUUUAUUUUUUCACAAACAGUUUAACAAGUUGAUAAUUUAUAUAUUU